AACAAAACUAUCCCACCAAAACCAGCUAAAACAUUUUCACCAUCCUAGUAUAGGCGAUAGAAAAGACAGUUGGAGCAAUAGAGAUAGUACCGCAAGGGAAAGAUGAAAAACAAUGAAAUAUUCACUAAGCCAUAAAAAGCAAAGAUUAAUCCUUAUACCUUUUGCAUCAUGAUUUAGCCAGCAUAUUCAAGCAAAGAGCCCUAAAGUAUGAAACCCCGAAACUAAGUGAGCUACUUAAAGGCAGCCACACCAAGGCUAAAUCCGUCUCUGUGGCAAAAGAGUGGAAAGACCUAUAAGUAGAGGUGAAAAGCCUAACGAACUAAGUGAUAGCUGGUUGCUCAAUAAAAGAAUAUAAGUUCAACCUUAAAUCUUCUAAAAACAACCUAAAGUAAAAAGAAAAGUUUAAGAUUUAUUCAAUUGGGGUACAGCCCAAUUGAAAAAGGACACAACCUAAUAACGGAGGACAAAACACCAAAAUACAACAACCGUAGGCCUUAAAGCAGCCACCAAUUAAGAAAGCGUCAAAGCCCACCCACCCACUAUUAAAUAAUAACAUAAAAUUUUCUCCCCUAAUAAUACUGAGCUACUCUACUUAAAUAGAGGAACUAAUGCUAAAAUGAGUAACAAGAAGACAAAACUUCUCUAAUGCGCUAGCUUAAGUCACAACAGACAAACUACUGACUAUUAACAACCAUCACUAUAAAACAACAACAUUUAAACCACCCUAUAGACCCAACUGUUAACCCAACACAGGAGCGUAUACAAGAAAGAUUAAAAUUUGUAAAAGGAACUAGGCAAAUAAAUGAGCCCGACUGUUUACCAAAAACAUAGCCCCUAGCAACACAAGUAUUAGGGGUAAUGCCUGCCCAGUGACACUGUUAAACGGCCGCGGUAUCCUAACCGUGCAAAGGUAGCGUAAUCACUUGUCUUUUAAAUAAAGACUAGAAUGAAUGGCCAAACGAGGUUCUACCUGUCUCUUACAAAUAAUCAGUGAAAUUGAUCUUCCUGUGCAAAAGCAGGAAUAACAUUAUAAGACGAGAAGACCCUGUGGAACUUCAAAUACAAAUCAACUAUCACCAACCUAGACCUACAGCCCGCAGUGCUUCCGGCAAAACGAUCCAAUAUACUUGAUCAACGAACCAAGCUACCCCAGGGAUAACAGCGCAAUCCCAUCCUAGAGUCCCUAUCGACGAUGGAGUUUACGACCUCGAUGUUGGAUCAGGACAUCCUGAUGGUGCAGCUGCUAUCAAGGGUUCGUUUGUUCAACGAUUAAUAGUCCUACGUGAUCUGAGUUCAGACCGGAGCAAUCCAGGUCGGUUUCUAUCUAUAAGUUUAAGCCUUUUCUAGUACGAAAGGACCGAAAAGACAAGGCCCAUACUAAAAACAAGCCUUACCUUACAUUAAUGAAAACAGCUUAACUAAUAAUAAGGCAAACAAACCACAGCCCUAAAAAAGGGCCU
rnacentral:rRNA from 1 species